GUUUUCUGUAGAGGCGUCCAUCAGAGGACUCUUCUAGGUUGCCUUUUCUCUCUUUGGGCAAACAGGAGAACAGGUUGUAAUUUCCAUGUAAAUAAUGAGGAGUCAUUACUUUUGGAGCAACCUUUGUAAAUGCAGCCCUAGACAAUUUCUCUUUACUUAGUCUGUCCCUGGCAAGCCAAAAGAUUGGACAUCCACAUGUUAGGGCCAUCUCUACUGAAUAUCUUCCUAUUACCGCCAAUGAUACCAUUUUCCUCUAUGGACUAGAGAACCAAAGAAGGUGAACCACAACUAAAAGCUGAGUUAAAGGAAAAAAAGAAAAAAAAGAAAAAGUCAUUCCCUCCAUUCAAAACCUUAAAGGCUUCUAACAGCAGGACUGUAGUUUCCCUAAAAUACUAAUUAUAGUGAAUUAAAUGACUAAAAUGCUACUAAUUACUUUUUAAUUUCAAGAGAGAUGUUUACAAAGCACAGUAUAAUGAGUAAUACAGUACUUCAAAUGAUUACUAAUGUUGCCAUUUUGUCUGACUUAAUCUCAAUUAGUAUAAAUCACAAUGUCAUCAUUGCUAAUUGCCAUUCCUUUUGAGCAAAAUGCUAAUUUUGCUUUACAAUCAUGCAGUUGCUGUUUGUUUUUCCUUUAAAUUAUUCCAUUUAAGAGGCCUUGAUAAAAGAAGUGUUUAGAAUCUUUUAUUUUCAAGAGCUCAAGAAGAGGAAGCCAUUGGACUUAAGCAUUUUUAUUUUUCAGUAGAUUUGUCUUUUUAGUUCAUUUUUUUAUGUAAUAAAAGCUUUCACCUC
ensembl:lncRNA